GGAGAAGUACCCAAGCGGUUAUAAGGGGGCGCACUCGAAAUGCGUUAGGACGGGCAACCGCCCGAGUGAUUUCGAAUCUCAUCUUCUCCU
rnacentral:tRNA from 1 species